GACGAACGCUGGCGGCGUGCUUAACACAUGCAAGUGGAGCGACGAACCAGGCUUCGGCCUGGGGGCAAAGCCGCGAACGGGUGAGUAACACGUGGGUAACCUGCCCCGAUGACUGGGACGAACCCGAACGGAAACGUACGGGCGUAAUACCGGAGUGUACUUACAUCACACAAGUGAUGCAAGACAAAGAAUAGCUUCGGUCC
rnacentral:rRNA from 1 species